UUGUUAGCAUAAGUAUAUCCCAUGAAAUAUCUGGGACAUACUUAUACUAAAG
rnacentral:pre_miRNA from 1 species